rnacentral:rRNA from 1 species
CUUGAGAUGAGGUCUCCCACCUGUGAAGGGUAAGGCCCCCGGUAGACGACCGGGUUGAUAGGCCGGGAGUGGAAGCGCGGUAACGUGUGGAGCUGACCGGUACUAAUAGGCCGAGGACUUGACCAUAU